rnacentral:rRNA from 1 species
GAUGAACGCUGGCGGCGUGCCUAAUACAUGCAAGUCGAGCGAAUGGAUUAAGAGCUUGCUCUUAUGAAGUUAGCGGCGGACGGGUGAGUAACACGUGGGUAACCUGCCCAUAGGACUGGGAUAACUCCGGGAAGCCGGGGCUAAUACCGGAUAACAUUUUGAACCGCAUGGUUCGAAAUUGAAAGGCGGCUUCGGCUGUCACUUAUGGAUGGACCCGCGUCGCAUUAGCUAGUCGGUGAGGUAACAGCUCACCAAGGCAACGAUGCGUAGCCGACCUGAGAGGGUGAUCGGCCACACUGGGACUGAGACACGGCCCAGACUCCUACGGGAGGCAGCAGUAGGGAAUCUUCCGCAAUGGACGAAAGUCUGACGGAGCAACGCCGCGUGAGUGAUGAAGGCUUUCGGGUCGUAAAACUCUGUUGUUAGGAAAGAACAAGUGCUAGUUGAAUAAGCUGGCACCUUGACGGUACCUAACCAGAAAGCCACGGCUAACUACGUGCCAGCCGCCGCGGUAA